CUCGUUUUGGCCCCGAGAGAAAAACAAAAAGGAGGGGCAGGACGCGAAAGCUCUUCUCUUCAGUUUUUAGGCGACGGCUGCGAAGGGGGGCGCGGCGGAGGAGAGAGAGAGAGAGAGAAGGGGGAGGAGCGAGUCUCUGGAGGGAGACGACGCGGGGAGCUCGAAACCCUAAUCCCGAGGCGGCCGGCGACUCCGAUCGCCUCCGCUCCUCCGACUUUUCUUGCUUCUUUAAGGGUGGAGUCACCAUGAGCACCCAAACUAAUGACAAAUGUCCACUUUGCAUGGACCCUUUGGAUUUGACAGAUAAACAACUAAAGCCUUGUAAAUGUGGAUAUGAGAUAUGUCUGUACUGUUGGCAUCGAAUAAUGGGAAUGGACCAGAAGGAUGAAUCUGGUGGGAGGUGCCCUGGAUGCCGUUCUGUAUAUGACAAGGAUAGGAUCCUGGAGACAAGCGCCAGGAACCAAAUGCAUGUACUUUAUCUCUAAAUUUCAGUGUUUUGUCACUAAAAAUCCAUUCUUCACCU